AGCGGCGGACGGGUUAGUAACGCGUGGGAACAUACCCUUUGGUACGGAAUAGCCUCUGGAAACGGAGAGUAAUACCGUAUGAGCCCUUCGGGGGAAAGAUUUAUCGCCAAAGGAUUGGCCCGCGUUAGAUUAGGUAGUUGGUGGGGUAAUGGCCUACCAAGCCUACGAUCUAUAGCUGGUUUUAGAGGAUGAUCAGCAACACUGGGACUGAGACACGGCCCAGACUCCUACGGGAGGCAGCAGUGGGGAAUCUUGGACAAUGGGGGCAACCCUGAUCCAGCCAUGCCGCGUGAGUGAUGAAGGCCUUAGGGUCGUAAAGCUCUUUCGCCUGUGAAGAUAAUGACGGUAGCAGGUAAAGAAACCCCGGCUAACUCCGUGCCAGCAGCCGCGGUAAUACGGAGGGGGUUAGCGUUGUUCGGAAUUACUGGGCGUAAAGCGCACGUAGGCGGACUGGAAAGUUGGGGGUGAAAUCCCAGGGCUCAACCCUGGAACUGCCUCCAAAACUAUCAGUCUAGAGUUCGAGAGAGGUGAGUGGAAUUCCGAGUGUAGAG
rnacentral:rRNA from 1 species